rnacentral:rRNA from 1 species
GUCGAACGGCAGCAUGAUCUAGCUUGCUAGAUUGAUGGCGAGUGGCGAACGGGUGAGUAAUACAUCGGAACGUGCCCUGUAGUGGGGGAUAGCUAGUCGAAAGAUUAGCUAAUACCGCAUACGACCUGAGGGUGAAAGUGGGGGACCGCAAGGCCUCAUGCUAUAGGAGCGGCCGAUGUCUGAUUAGCUAGUUGGUGGGGUAAAGGCCCACCAAGGCGACGAUCAGUAGCUGGUCUGAGAGGACGAUCAGCCACACUGGGACUGAGACACGGCCCAGACUCCUACGGGAGGCAGCAGUGGGGAAUUUUGGACAAUGGGCGAAAGCCUGAUCCAGCAAUGCCGCGUGUGUGAAGAAGGCCUUCGGGUUGUAAAGCACUUUUGUCCGGAAAGAAAUGGCUCUGGUUAAUACCUGGGGUCGAUGACGGUACCGGAAGAAUAAGGACCGGCUAACUACGUGCCAGCAGCCGCGGUAAUACGUAGGGUCCAAGCGUUAAUCGGAAUUACUGGGCGUAAAGCGUGCGCAGGCGGUUGUGCAAGACCGAUGUGAAAUCCCCGAGCUUAACUUGGGAAUUGCAUUGGUGACUGCACGGCUAGAGUGUGUCAGAGGGGGGUAGAAUUCCACGUGUAGCAGUGAAAUGCGUAGAGAUGUGGAGGAAUACCGAUGGCGAAGGCAGCCCCCUGGGAUAACACUGACGCUCAUGCACGAAAGCGUGGGGAGCAAACAGGAUUAGAUACCCUGGUAGUCCACGCCCUAAACGAUGUCAACUAGUUGUUGGGGAUUCAUUUCCUUAGUAACGUAGCUAACGCGUGAAGUUGACCGCCUGGGGAGUACGGUCGCAAGAUUAAAACUC